UCUCCACUCUUCGAUGAAUGUUGCCAAAAAAAUUUGGAUUCCAGAUCUUUAGUUUAGCUUUCAGGAUAGCAAGCUUCUUGUGAACAAUAUACAGCGGUGUUCCUGUUAUUUUAUAAAUCCAGGCAUCCUUUAUGACUGCUUCCAGCGAUGGAUGAUCCAGCCACAUCUUUUCGAAGCGAAAGGGUGGCCGUGGCUGGAUCUAUCUGGAGAAGCAAAGGGGUACUGGGCACUCGCCUGGCUCAAAAUACUCUUUCUUUCUCACAGGAACACUAGCUUCCAUUCCACUUCGAACUCCAAGUCUUAAGCAAACUGGCAUCUACCUUGCCUUGCUCUGUAGCCGGAAUAGAUAGAUUCAAGGGCCAGUGGGAGUUUCUUUACAUGUAGUUCCAUUCUCUCUUGUAGCAGUCUCAAUAGGAGCAGUCCAUACGAGACAAUAUGAUCCAGCCGAGCGUUUAGGGUCCCUUCUCUCGAGUUCGAGUGCCCCCUAAGCCAGUU
rnacentral:lncRNA from 1 species